rnacentral:rRNA from 1 species
UACGGGGGGGAGCAAGCGUUGUUCGGAUUUACUGGGCGUAAAGCGCGCGUAGGUGGCUUCGUAAGUCCGUUGUGAAAGUCAAAGGCUCAACCUUUGAAAGCCGAUGGAUACUGUGGAGCUAGAGUACGGAAGAGGCGAGUGGAAUUCCCGGUGUAGCGGUGAAAUGCGCAGAUAUCGGGAGGAACACCAAUGGCGAAGGCAGCUCGCUGGGACGGUACUGACGCUGAGGCGCGAAAGCGUGGGGAGCAAACAGG